ACUACGCGCUAACCUAGAACCCACAAAGGGUGUUGGUCGAUUAGGACAGCAGGACGGUGGUCAUGGAAGUCGAAAUCCGCUAAGAAGUGUGUAACAACUCACCUGCCGAAUCAACUAGCCCCGAAAAUGGAUGGCGCUCAAGCGUGUGACCUAUACCCGUCCAUCUCGGCAAGUGCCAAGCCUUGAUGAGUAGGAGGGCGCGAUGUUCGCUCAGAACUCUCGGGUGUGAGCCUGGUUGGAGCGGGCAUCGGUGCAGAUCUUGGUGGUAGUAGUAAAUAUUCAAAUGAGAGCUUUGAAGGCCGAAGUGGGGAAAGGUUCCAUGUGAACGGUGCUUGCACAUGGGUUAGCCGAUCCUAAGGGAUGGGGUAAUCUCGUCUAAGAGCGCGAUUGUCGUGCGAUCUUCGAAAGGGAAGCGGGUUAAAAUUCCCUUGCCGAGAUGUGGCGGUUGAUGGUAACAUCUGGAAGUCCGGAGAUGUCGGUGGGGGCCCCGUGGAGAGUUAUCUUUUCUGUUUAACGAUCUCUUCGCCCUGGAAAUGGUUCAGCCGGAGGUAGGGUGUAAUGGUCGAAA
rnacentral:rRNA from 1 species